rnacentral:rRNA from 1 species
AACGAACGCUGGCGGCGCGCCUAAUACAUGCAAGUCGAGCGAGAAGGUGUAGCAAUACACUUGUAAAGCGGCGAACGGGUGAGGAAUACAUGGGUAACCUACCAUCGAGUGGGGAAUAACCAGCCGAAAGGUUGGCUAAUACCGCGUACGCCUCCGAAUUCUCGGAUUCGGAGGGAAAGCCACACUAUGAGUGUGGCGCUCUUUGAUGGGCUCAUGUCCUAUCAGCUUGUUGGUAGGUAACGGCCUACCAAGGCUUUGACGGGUAGCUGGUCUGAGAGGACGAUCAGCCACACUGGCACUGCGACACGGGCCAGACUCCUACGGGAGCAGCAGUAAGGAAUAUUGCGCAAUGGACGAAAGUCUGACGCAGCGACGCCGC